CACGUAGGGCGCAAGCGUUGUCCGGAAUUAUUGGGCGUAAAGAGCUCGUAGGCGGUCUGUUGCGUCCGCUGUGAAAACUCGGGGCUUAACCCCGAGCCUGCAGUGGAUACGGGCAGACUAGAGGUAGGUAGGGGAGAAUGGAAUUCCCGGUGUAGCGGUGAAAUGCGCAGAUAUCAGGAGGAACACCGGUGGCGAAGGCGGGUCUCUGGGCAAUAACUGACGCUGAGGAGCGAAAGCGUGGGGAGCGAACAGG
rnacentral:rRNA from 1 species